GGGUGAGCUAAACUAGCUCAGUGUGAGUCUAUAAUAGUAUGAUCACAUAACCAUUCAUACAAGAAACAAUCAUUAAUUCAAUACCAUUCGAUACAACACAAUAUAAUACGUAGCAUAAAUUAAUGUUAUUCGAUUAUGUCGUGAGUAUGAUGCAAUGCAAAAAGGUUCCUACCCAUCCAUCCGCUACACACCACGAAUUCCCUAGAACUCAUC
rnacentral:lncRNA from 1 species